rnacentral:rRNA from 1 species
AUUGAACGCUGGCGGAAUGCUUUACACAUGCAAGUCGAACGGUAGAGGGGGCAACCCCUCGAGAGUGGCGAACGGGUGAGUAAUAUAUCGGAACGUGCCCAGUCGUGGGGGAUAACGUAGCGUAAGUUACGCUAAUACCGCAUACGAUCUAAGGAUGAAAGCGGGGUAUCGCAAGACCUCGCGCGAUUGGAGCGGCCGAUAUCAGAUUAGGUAGUUGGUGGGGUAAAGGCUCACCAAGCCAACGAUCUGUAGCUGGUCUGAGAGGACGACCAGCCACACUGGAACUGAGACACGGUCCAGACUCCUACGGGAGGCAGCAGUGGGGAAUUUUGGACAAUGGACGCAAGUCUGAUCCAGCCAUUCCGCGUGCAGGAUGAAGGCCCUCGGGUUGUAAACUGCUUUUGUACGGAACGAAAAGGUCUCUCUUAAUACGGGGGACUCAUGACGGUACCGUAAGAAUAAGCACCGGCUAACUACGUGCCAGCAGCCGCCGUAA